GACGAACGCUGGCGGCGUGCCUAAUACAUGCAAGUCGAGCGAAGCGGCGGAUGGGUGAGUCACGCGUGGGUAACCUGCCCUUAAGUCUGGGAUACCCUUUGGAAACAGAUGCUAAUACCGGAUACUAAAGGAUGGACCUGCGAUGCAUUAGCUAGUGGGUAAGGUAACGGCUUACCAAGGCGAUGAUGCAUAGCGCAGUUGAGCGAGUGAUUGGCAACAUGGGGACUGAGACACGGCCCAAACUCUUACGGGAGGCAGCAGUAGGGAAUCUUACACAAUGGACGAAAGGCUGAUGGAGCAACGCCGCGUGAGUGAAGAAGGUUUUAGGAUCGUAAAGCUAUGUUGUUGGUGAAGCGGUAAUCAACCAGAAAGUCACGGCUAACUACGUGCCAGCAGCCGCGGUAAUUC
rnacentral:rRNA from 1 species